rnacentral:rRNA from 1 species
ACUGAAACAUCUAAGUACCCCGAGGAAAAGAAAUCAACCGAGAUUCCCCCAGUAGCGGCGAGCGAACGGGGAGCAGCCCAGAGCCUGAAUCAGUGUGUGUGUUAGUGGAAGCGUCUGGAAAGGCGCGCGAUACAGGGUGACAGCCCCGUACACAAAAAUGCACAUGCUGUGAGCUCGAUGAGUAGGGCGGGACACGUGGUAUCCUGUCUGAAUAUGGGGGGACCAUCCUCCAAGGCUAAAUACUCCUGACUGACCGAUAGUGAACCAGUACCGUGAGGGAAAGGCGAAAAGAACCCCGGCGAGGGGAGUGAAAAAGAACCUGAAACCGUGUACGUACAAGCAGUGGGAGCACAGAGCAAUCUGUGUGACUGCGUACCUUUUGUAUAAUGGGUCAGCGACUUAUAUUCUGUAGCAAGGUUAACCGAAUAGGGGAGCCGAAGGGAAACCGAGUCUUAACUGGGCGUUAAGUUGCAGGGUAUAGACCCGAAACCCGGUGAUCUAGCCAUGGGCAGGUUGAAGGUUGGGUAACACUAACUGGAGGACCGAACCGACUAAUGUUGAAAAAUUAGCGGAUGACUUGUGGCUGGGGGUGAAAGGCCAAUCAAACCGGGAGAUAGCUGGUUCUCCCCGAAAGCUAUUUAGGUAGCGCCUCGUGAAUUCAUCUCCGGGGGUAGAGCACUGUUUCGGCAAGGGGGUCAUCCCGACUUACCAACCCGAUGCAAACUGCGAAUACCGGAGAAUGUUAUCACGGGAGACACACGGCGGGUGCUAACGUCCGUCGUGAAGAGGGAAACAACCCAGACCGCCAGCUAAGGUCCCAAAGUCAUGGUUAAGUGGGAAACGAUGUGGGAAGGCCCAGACAGCCAGGAUGUUGGCUUAGAAGCAGCCAUCAUUUAAAGAAAGCGUAAUAGCUCACUGGUCGAGUCGGCCUGCGCGGAAGAUGUAACGGGGCUAAACCAUGCACCGAAGCUGCGGCAGCGACGCUUAUGCGUUGUUGGGUA